UCUUCAUUUCACACACUCUCUCACCGGUCAGAGCGACGAGAGAGUGCGUGAAAUGAGGAGA
rfam:Pristionchus pacificus strain PS312 contig10316, whole genome shotgun sequence.